AACAGGUCAAUCUGCUGUCUCACGGCAUGCACUUGUCUUACGUGUACACGUCAGAUCCGUGCAGGUUCUGACGUCCGUUUCUCGUGCAGGCCUACGUCAUCACGCUGCCAGCUGAUCGGAGUGGGAAGCCGGGUGUGUGUCUCGCCUGGGUGUGUGUGAGAGUGAAAGAGAGAGAGAGAGGCAGAGAGACACAGAAAGAGAGAGAAGGUGGGGGGGCAGGAGUUGUGUAAAAGGGGCUGAAGUCCUGCGCUGUCUUCUCCGCUGCUGCUGCUGCUGCUGCUGCUGCACUAAAAGGGCUCCACACACUUAAACGCUGUCAAACGUUUCCGUAGCGCGGACGCAAAAUUUUUCCACAGACAGCGACACACCCAGGCGGACUCCGCCGAGCGGUGGGCGAGGCAGCCUGAACUCCGCCGGACCGUUCAAGAUGUGCCGGAGCGGGCAGGAGCGACCCGGCUGCUGCUGGUGGUCAAGAAAUACAUGCACCUAAAGCCAGAGGAAGAAAGAGGAAGGAGUCACCAUUUGCGCUUUAAAACGGAUUGUGCAUCACUGCAGGCUAUCUCACGCUCGCCGGCCUCAUACCGGCUGACGCACAGCAGUUCUUCACUGGCAAGCUUUAUGUUUCUGUACACAUGCUAAAGCUGCCAGCUGAAGAACUGCUCUGGCCAGCUCUGCUCCCGGAAGGCUCAAGAAGAGGAAGCAGAUGACGGAUGAUGGGAAUUUGGCUGAAGAGGACUUUUAUAACCUGUAAGACUGAACCCAGAAACAUUGCGUAGAUUAUAGGCAGACAUGUUAUCUUUUUCCCACCAAAAACUGUUUGAAUUGUGUUUUUUAUGUCUUUCAAUAAAGCACAAAAUAUUUUCUCAGAUGUGUUGUUGCAGUCACACUAUAGACAAUAAAGCGCAUACCAGCACUGAAUGUUCUCUCGUCCAAAAAUAACAGCACACUCACAGAGAGGCACAUGACUACGCAAAAAUGUGUCACACCUAAUGGCUUUUAAGUAUCUGCUGAUCCCAUCAAAGGAGAGCAA